rnacentral:rRNA from 1 species
GACGAUCUGUAGCGGGUCUGAGAGGAUGAUCCGCCACACUGGGACUGAGACAUGGCCCAGACUCCUACGGGAGGCAGCAGUGGGGAAUUUUGGACAAUGGGCGCAAGCCUGAUCCAGCCAUGCCGCGUGAGUGAAGAAGGCCUUCGGGUUGUAAAGCUCUUUCGGCCGGGAAGAAAUCGUGUCCUCUAACAUAGGGCAUGGAUGACGGUACCGGACUAAGAAGCACCGGCUAACUACGUGCCAGCAGCCGCGGUAAUACGUAGGGUGCGAGCGUUAAUCGGAAUUACUGGGCGUAAAGCGUGCGCAGGCGGUUUUGUAAGACAGAUGUGAAAUCCCCGGGCUUAACCUGGGAACUGCGUUUGUGACUGCAAGGCUAGAGUACGGCAGAGGGGGGUGGAAUUCCUGGUGUAGCAGUGAAAUGCGUAGAUAUCAGGAGGAACACCGAUGGCGAAAGCAGCCCCCUGGGCCUGUACUGACGCUCAUGCACGAAAGCGUGGGGAGCAAACAGGAUUAGAUACCCUGGUAGUCCACGCCCUAAACGAUGUCGACUAGUCGUUCGGAGCAGCAA